GCCUCGGUAACUCAAUCGAUAGAGCGCGUGCCUUUUGAGCCCGUGAUCGACGGUUCGAGCUCCGCCCGAGGUG
rfam:Perkinsus marinus ATCC 50983 gcontig_1104296725224, whole genome shotgun sequence.